UCUUGGAAAAGUUUUCCCUGAGGCUCACCCCCAAGGACGGCUGCCAAGAAUGGAACAGACACUCCCAGAGUCGCAGGGCCGCUCUGGGCCAUUGGGAGACCCGCGGGUGAGACAGGAAAAUUUCCCUGGUGGACACUGGCACCUCCCAGAGCAGCUGGAGCAGUUCCCAAGCCCGAUGGACCUGGAAAUUUCUGCAGGGUCUUGGAAGUGGGUAGCUGUGAAACGGCAACCAUGAAAAAAACUCAUAAAUAACAUGGAUGAAUCAUUGUUACUCCAUCAUUUCAUAGUGGAGAAGUUCUUUCUAAAGCAUAAAAAAAAAACAGAAGCCAACAAGGAAAUUCCUGAUGAACUUGACUACAUAAAGUUUAAACAAAAUCCACAAACAAAGCCAAAAAAACACCAAAUGACUGGGAAACAUUUGUGCAGAUACUAGUAUGAUAAGAAUGUUGAUUUGAUACACAAGAGUUAAGACAUGAAGGCUACCUAAGUGUCCACUUAAGAAGAAUGGAAAAAGGAAAUGUGGUGUAUAUGCAGAAGAGAAUACUAUUCAACCUCUUUUUAGAGGGGGGAAAAGGGGUAGUCAUUUUUGACAAUGUAACUGAACCUGGAGGAAAUUAUACUAAGGGGAAUAAGACAGGCACAGAAGGACAGAUACCACAUGAUCUCAUAUGUGGAAUCUAUAACAGUUGAAUUCACAGGAGAAAGCAAGGUCAUGGUAACCAGAGAUUGGGAAUUGGGGAGAUAUUAUUGGUACGUAACACCGAGGAAUGUCUUAGUAAUCCACAUGGCGUAGUGACUGUAGUCAAUGCUAAUAUAUAUUUCAAAAUUGUUAAAAAAUAGGUUUUAA
rnacentral:lncRNA from 1 species